AAAUGUUAUGAUGAUUGGCAAAAUGUUCAACUGCUCUGAAAAGAGUGAAUGAUGACAGCCUUUCUGAACACUU
ensembl:snoRNA